AAAUCUAUCACUCCCUGAAGCAGAGAGCAGCAAAACAUUAUGGUUCCUUCCUAUUGGCUAUUUUAUAACUCCUUUCUAUUGGGAUUGAAUCAUGUAGUCCCAUUUUCUCCAAUAUUUCCUUUUUUCUAUACAGAGGCACAAAGGGCCACUUUCCUCUGUACUUUAAAUGAGUUGCAAUAACUAAAAAGGUCACUUUACAGAAAUGUCCUACACAAAAGGAAUCAUGAGUGCCCAAGAGAAUCUAGACACUGAAAACACAUUGGAGGUCAUUGAUUAACUGCCUCUCCCUUGGGGUUGUGACAUACACAGGAAAUGACCUGGACGGCCAAGAGGACCGGCUGCAACUGCUAGUUGUUUGCUGGCCACAUUGUGAUUAUUUGAACCAGCUUUGUUGAGAUUACUGCAGCACAAAAGCUGUGAUGACUCUUCUCCAACUGAGUUAUUCAAUCUGCAGAGGGCAGAGGGCAAGUUCCUUUUGCCCUCUACUGUUGGUUUGAGAAAAGACUGUCCUGGCCAAGACACAGCCGGUUCCUGUGCUCCAGGAGGAAGCAGCCAUGCUCUGGGGGCAAAAUGAAACUCCUGCAUGGAGAGUGGAGGAAUCUCUCUGGACUUCUCAAGCCAGCUCAGGGAAAAUCAGGCUCACCAGAACUGAGGUCAGCCCUGCCCAACCUACCUGGCACAGCUGCUGGGAUGGAGAGAAACACCUUGGAAUCCGAGCAAAGACAGAUGUAAGAGGCCAGGAGAGGCUGACAGGUUGGGUUUUAAUCCUGGGAACCAAAUUACAACAGUCUGACUGGGUCAUGUGGGGCUGCUCUGGAUCAGCAGCUGCUGGGACUGGCAGUGGGAAGCCAGAGAACCACCCUGCGAUUUUGCAGAUUCUGAGAUUCUGGUCUAACUCACCAGGUCAGCCCCUUUGA
rnacentral:lncRNA from 1 species